GCUAGUUGGUGAGGUAACGGCUCACCAAGGCCACGAUGCAUAGCCGACCUGAGAGGGUGAUCGGCCACACUGGGACUGAGACACGGCCCAGACUCCUACGGGAGGCAGCAGUAGGGAAUCUUCGGCAAUGGACGAAAGUCUGACCGAGCAACGCCGCGUGAGUGAAGAAGGUUUUCGGAUCGUAAAACUCUGUUGUUAGAGAAGAACAAGGACGUUAGUAACUGAACGUCCCCUGACGGUAUCUAACCAGAAAGCCACGGCUAACUACGUG
rnacentral:rRNA from 1 species